AUAAUCAAAUUAAUAAAACAAAUAUGUUUAUUAAAAUUAAAGUUAACAAAAUGACGAAUAGACUGAGAAAUGCUAUAAUUCAUUUUGUAUGAUUUACAGAGAGUUUA
rnacentral:sRNA from 1 species